rnacentral:rRNA from 1 species
AGGAAUAUUGGUCAAUGGGCGAGAGCCUGAACCAGCCAAGUAGCGUGAAGGAUGACUGCCCUAUGGGUUGUAAACUUCUUUUAUAAAGGAAUAAAGUCGGGUAUGGAUACCCGUUUGCAUGUACUUUAUGAAUAAGGAUCGGCUAACUCCGUGCCAGCAGCCGCGGUAAUACGGAGGAUCCGAACGUUAUCCGGAUUUAUUGGGUUUAAAGGGAGCGUAGAUGGAUGUUUAAGUCAGUUGUGAAAGUUUGCGGCUCAACCGUAAAAUUGCAGUUGAUACUGGAUAUCUUGAGUGCAGUUGAGGCAGGCGGAAUUCGUGGUGUAGCGGUGAAAUGCUUAGAUAUCACGAAGAACUCCGAUUGCGAAGGCAGCCUGCUAAGCUGCAACUGACAUUGAGGCUCGAAAGUGUGGGUAUCAAACAGGAUUAGAUACCCUGGUAGUCCACACGGUAAACGAUGAAUACUCGCUGUUUGCGAUAUACUGCAAGCGGCCAAGCGAAAGCGUUAAGUAUUCCACCUGGGGAGUACGCCGGCAACGGUGAAACUCAAAGGAAUUGACGGGGGCCCGCACAAGCGGAGGAACAUGUGGUUUAAUUCGAUGAUACGCGAGGAACCUUACCCGGGCUUGAAUUGCAACUGAAUGAUGUGGAGACAUGUCAGCCGCAAGGCAGUUGUGAAGGUGCUGCAUGGUUGUCGUCAGCUCGUGCCGUGAGGUGUCGGCUUAAGUGCCAUAACGAGCGCAACCCUUAUCGAUAGUUACCAUCAGGUUAUGCUGGGGACUCUGUCGAGACUGCCGUCGUAAGAUGUGAGGAAGGUGGGGAUGACGUCAAAUCAGCACGGCCCUUACGUCCGGGGCUACACACGUGUUACAAUGGGGGGUACAGAAGGCAGCUACACGGCGACGUGAUGCUAAUCCCGAAAGCCUCUCUCAGUUCGGAUUGGAGUCUGCAACCCGACUCCAUGAAGCUGGAUUCGCUAGUAAUCGCGCAUCAGCCACGGCGCGGUGAAUACGUUCCCG